UGCAGCCCCAGCCCGGCCGGACCGCGGAGGCCAGGCGCCCGGCUCAGCGCUGCCCCUACUCCCGGCGCCGCGCUCCGCUCCCGGCCACCUAACGGCCCGUGGCCGGCAGGCGUCCACGAGUUUGCCCCGGAGCGCGGGGAAGUUUUCUGCCCGAGCUCCGCUCCUGCAAAAGCAGUACCUGCCGGCGCCGGGCGGCUCCCCUGGACUCCCCGCGAGGUAACCGCGCGGGGGCUGGGGGCUGGGGGACCCGAGGGCCAAGGCUGCAGGGCGCCGCCUCGCACCCGCGGUGGAGCGGGCUCUGGGUGGGCGGGAAGUGCAUCCGCACCUUUGCAGGUACUUCACCGCCGCGGGAUGAAGGAGGCAUGUCAUCUUUCCUUUCUCUCCCCGCGCCAAUGUCUCAACCCACUUGCACCCACUUUAUUAGCUGGGUAGGGGUGGUGGUGGCGGGAGAUGAAGUGGGGUCCGAAGACUUGGAGAGGGGCUGAUGGGGGAGGAACUUGUUAGCCACCUGUUCUGGAGUCCUGGGUCCCGGUGGGGCACCCUAAUCUCCAGGACUCUUGCUGCUAGCCCCCACGUGGGGCUUGUAGAGGUUCCAAAGGGGACGUCAAUUAAGCACUGUCUUGAGUUUCCGAUGCCGGUUGACCGGGUCUUCCAGAGUGUUUGGCAGAAAGUGGAGCAUCUCCGCGGUGGUGUCUCCUUUGCGUCAAUCCCAAACUCAGCGCGACCUUGCUGAUGCUGCGGGCGAGGUGGGAGGGAAGUUGAGAGGACACGGAGCUCAGGUUCCAUCGUGGCCUCAGCAGAGGGGUUGAAAGGGGCGCUAUGAGGUGGGCUCCUGGAGCGGAGCGGGUCAAAGAGAGAGAGAGAGAGGAUGAAUUGCUUGGUGGUUUUGUCACUUGCUGCUGCUGUUACUUUCUCACGGUUACCCGCUCCCUUCUGCCCCGUUUGAACAUCCUGUCUAUCAGCAUGUUUCUGUUGGAAGGCUAAAAGGUGUUACGUUUGAUGCCUGUCAGGAGUUAUUUCCAACUAAGUUCACAGGUGCUAAGUCUAGAGCUGCCGCCCCUCUUCCCUCCCCUCCCCGCAGGUCCGCCCCCGACUCCCUCCCACAUGCAAACUGUGCCUGAAUAAUUCCCAGGAUUUUGGAAGGAAUGGCAUGUAAAUAAUAUGGAGUGUGUUUGUGUGACUCCCCCGCCCCAUUGUGCUAUCAGAUCCAAAUCAAGACAUUGCGGAUGUCUAACAGGACUCCUUUUAGGCAGGUUCCCCCCCCCCUUUAGAAUAUGGUUAACAAAUGCUUAUUUUUCUUCUCUUUCACUCCAAACUUUAAUCUAUCUCUAUGCAUUUUUUUUCCUUUUCUAUUACUAUACCUCUUGGUUUAAAAGACGUGGACUUUUGGACUCACACAAAUGCACCAAAAUAUACUGUGACCAUAUUUAAUAUUUAUCUGUCUCCCUGAUUGAGUGGCCUGCCACCUGCCAAUUCCAGUACAUAAUUGUAACACCAUAUGCCAGUCUACCAAAUUGAGGAUACGAAAAAUGUUAUUGUUUUCUGUGGGCAAAAGUAGCCUGACUACCAAAUUUUAUUAUUGCUGAAAGUGUUUUUAAGAGCUUCAGUCAAAGUGAAUCAGAUUAACAAUAAAAUUGGAAUUCUAUCUGAUACAUUCAAACAAAAUAAAGUACCUGGGCACUGAUAAUUGACUGGUAAUUGAGGGAGAAUUAAAAUCUUCUCAUCACAUGGAAAACAUUUUGAGUGAAUACUAAAUAAGAAAUAGCACACAUUGAAUGCCUUGAGAAAACAAGGAUUUUCUUAUUUCAUGUAGUUUUUAUUUCCUUUGUUAUAGUAACGUCCUCCAGAAAAUGAGCACCUUGCAUAUAGAUGUUGGUAUGUACUAACUAAACACCAUAUUUUGUAAUACAGAGGCUUGGUGACAGUCCAAAUGCAUAAAUGUUUUAAAUCAUUACCAACCAUCUGUUCUCUCCCACUCACUUAAAGUGCAAUAUUUUAUUUUCACAGGUAUCACUACAUACAUACUCAUUUCAUACAUUUCCAUGAACAUCCUGAAGCCUCACCUGGUGGUAUGUGAUGUUGAUCUGAGUUUGGCAAGUGUUGUGUUUAGCAUAUAAGCUCCUCUUAUAAGCCUUUCUUCUUUUAUUUUCAACCAAAGAAGAAAUCAAAAAAGUUUUAGAGCAUUUAUGCCGAGGCUGAAAUAUACUCCAGAGAAAUCUGCUCACCAACCACUACCUUUUGGUUAGCAAGAGAAGCUGAAAAUUAGUGCAGAUCUAGGCUCCUCCUCAUGACAUUCUUUCCCUUCCUCCAUGGUCACAAGCAUAGCAUUUGAUGUUCUAAAGCAGUGGAUUAAAACCCUUAACUUCAGAAAGUUAGUGCACUUUCCACAUGAGCAUAACACCUUCCAGGGAAAAAUUUUACAAAAUGAGAAACGAACUUAAUGUUCCAGUCUACAUAUUAAUAUACCUAAGAAAUACAAAUUAUUCCCCACACUCCUAUUUGCACGUAUGGAUAGCAUGGGAUAUUAUAUAUAUGGAUGAAAUGUUUAUCUAGAAAGUAUUCUUUAUGUCUGUGUUUGUGAGUCUGGAUGAGUUAGUAUGUAAUAAGCCACUGUUCAUGUCAUCAUUAAAGAGACCUUUGAGGUUUUGGGUGCCCCCCCAACCAAGAAUAAUUCCCCAUUCGGUGCUGUUUGUUAUAACUAGUACUGCAAUGUUAGGGUGUUUUAUAGCCUCAAAUUAAUUUGCAUAAUAAAUGUGUGUUGUUUGUUCAGUGCAGCCAGAACCUUAGGACUAAUCUUUUAACUCAACUCUGGGCACAGUGUCCCAAAGUUAAUGGUGAGCUUGCUAAUACUUUGCAAAUAACUGAUAUGUACUUGAGGAACAUUAAAAACCUAGGACAACACAGGACUUUGCAAUACACUGUUUCUGCCUUGAAAAUAUAAACAUUAUCUAACUUAGAACCAGUAUAACAUUAAAAAGAAUGAAUCCAAACUAUAGAUAAUGUUGAAAGUAAAGUUGCCUUUAAAACUAUGGUCUAAUUUAAACCUUUGGUUCUUAGAUAAAAAUAUGCUACAUCUUAUUUUUCUGUAUACUAAAAAUGAAUUAGUAAGGGGAAACAGUUUCACCGUAUGUAGCAAGCACUCUAAAUUAUUCAUGUUAAUGAAAGAAAUAGAGGCAAAGAUAAUCUAAAAUCAUGGUUAUUUAAAAAGUCAUUUGUGUUUGUCUUUGGAAUGUAUUACAUGUUUGAUUUGAAAAAAGAUUUUCAUCGUUAUUGUGGGCAAAUUGCCUUUCUAAUUAUUUUGUUUUGUUUAGGUUAAUUUUUAAAUGAGCUAACAUACCUCAAACACCAAAACUCAUUUCUGAGGAGGUGGGGCAGAUGGGCAACUUGCCCAGAAAAAUUAGCUGGGUUGCAGGAAAAAGAAAACCUGGUAGGAAGACCUUCAAGUAGAUAUAUAGAAUUCACAGAAAGAUAAUCAGGAGUUUAUUGUGUAUCUAUUUAAUGGAUGUGUGUGAAGAAUUACACAGGUUUCUUGAAAAUAUAAAGGUUCUUUUUUUAGUCAAAAUUUGAGAACUUCAAUCCCACUUCCCAUGUAGCAGAGGUUAUCAACAUUUUAAGAAAUUGUUUUAAAACCAAAUAGGAACAUACUAAUUUUCAUAUAAAUUUUUAUACUUAUUUUGAUAUGAAAUAUUUGAAAACCAAAAGGAACAUACUAAUUUAAACAUCUUACUACAGAGUUUUGGAGGUUUUUUCCUGAAGCAUACAUCUGUGUAUGGUGUUAAGUGACAUCCCUAAGCCUUAUCAUGCACUUUCUAAAAGCAGCAGCAGUAAGAAGCCAUCUGAAUAAGGGGUUUGGUCCAUUUGAUCUCUGUACCUGUGCUUCAAAUCAAAAACACAUUUCAUCAAAGGGAAGCUCUCAAGCAUCUAUUGUUACCGUGGACCUGGUUAGAUAAAAUAGUUGAAAUUCAGCAAGACUGUCAAUUUAACAGAUUUCUAUUGUGUUUUUCAAAAGCUCUAGGGCAAAAUUGGUUGUGGAUGAAAUAGUUACUUGAACAAGAAGCUGAUUCACACCACAGCAGUUGCAGUUAAACACCUUAUUUGUAAUCAGCAUUUAGCAGUAUAUGGAUUGUGGUGACUUGUUGGUUCCAUGGUCUCAGAAUUUGGGAAACUUUUGUGUUGAAGGUUAGACCUGCCAAAAUAUAUCAUUGGAAAAACAGUUAAGAUCAUUUUUUAUUUCAAGCAUCAUAUCCAAACUCUAACUUUCAUAGAAUUAAAGAGAAUGGUAAUAGAAAAGCAGAUGGAUCCCUCAGAAUGAAGACUGUUCUCAUUAUCAGUGUUCUUACUGCUUAAAGGGUAAGGAUACCUUUUUUUUCUUUUCAGGGAACAUUUUCAUUUUUUAUAAGGCAUGACAUUUUUAUAGAUUGGACGGGACUGAAUAUUUUAAAACAAGUACUGUGAUUGGAAACAUAAAAUUUGAGACCCACAGGUUAUAUUUUAUAGACCUUUAUUAAGGGAAUUGGUUUCUUCUGAUCACUACCUCAGUAUUAGAAUCAAAAUUAAGCUUUUUUUUUUUUUUGUUACAGAGCUAAGAAGGACCUUAAAAGUAAUUUAUUCCAAUGAGCUGUUUUACAGUUAAGGAAACAAUGAGGGCCCACAGUGAUCAUGAUGAACUGCUAAAGGUCACACUGGUAGUUAGAGGCACAAACUAGAAAUUUCAUGAACUCACUCUGACCCAGCUACCCUGUAGUAAAUUGAGUAGUCAGAUAUGGAGUUAACCCUUGCUGGCCAUCACAGUAUCAACUAGUACACAGUAGUCAUGAUGUACAGUGGUACAGAGGUAAUUGCAGAUGGCUGAGGUUUGCUGUCUUCUGUCAUACACUGAAUAGUCACUGGGAUAUGGACUGUGGUCCUCAACCCUCAGAAGUUCUGUCUUGUUGUUGUUGUUGUUAUUAUUAUUAUUAUUAUUAUUAUUAUUAUUAUUAUUAUUUGAUACCAGGGAUUGAACUCAGGGACACUCAACCACUGAGCCACAUCCCCAGUCCCCUUUUUUUUGUAUUUUAUUAGAGACAGGGUCUCACUGAGUUGCUUAGUGCCUCACUGUUGCUGAGGCUGGCUUUAAACUCACAAUCUUCCUGCCUCAGCCUCCUGAGUGUCUGGGAUUACAGGCGUGCACCACUGCACCAGCUUUUCCUCUGUUUUAAUAACAAAUAUUUUGUGCUGCCUUCUUUAAUUUCUUCAAAUGUAAUUCAUAAUUAGAAUAAUUGCUGAAUAUAGCUGUAAUUAAAAGGAACAAUAAAGUUAAAGUAAUUUGUAAUAAUAUGAAUUUCUCUGUACUGUUUGGGGUGACUUCAUUAGAACACAAAAUACAGAGCUUAUAUAUAUGUAUAUGUGCAUAUAUGUAUGUGUUUAUAUGUUUAUGUGUGUGUGUGUGUAAACACUAAAUUUGAAUUUAAAACAAAUAAAAACAUCAGAAAACGUCCAUGCAAUAAGUUCAGGAAAAUGAAGGAAUGAAGAUAAACUAAAGGUGGGUUAGGAAAAUUAGAAACCAGAUUUCUUUGUAUAUGAUAACUGUAAGGAGAACAUAAUGGUAACUGUCUAGGGAAAAUUUGCCAAGUCAAAUCCUAAACUGUAAGAGUAGAGAAAGCACAGAAGUAUAUUUUGCCAGUAAGAGAGUGGAUAUUAUUAAUAUACUUCCACCAAAAUUCCAAAAUGACUUCAUGGGGAAUUUCCAUGUUUUACAUAUUAAUGUGUGUUCGACUUCAAGGAACUCGACAGUUUACCUGCCAUAUCAUAAAUAAUAAACAAAAUAUUUCUGAGAUGAAAUUAUUGACUUGUGCUGUUAUUUUCUUGUUUAUUUUCUAUUAAUAUAACAGUCUAUCAAUUCUCGAGUUAAGAGAUGGAAUAUACAAAAUGAUUCAAUAAUUCAUCAGAGCAACCUUAUUAUAAAUUGCUGGACUUUGGGUGGAAGUUCUUACAAAUCUUUAAUUAUGAUUGUGUACCAGAUUCUACAGGUUGAUACUCCCAACAACUUUAGUUCAUUGGGAUGUGUGAUAUUAUAUGAAAUAUUUGGAAAGAUCCAUCAUUAAGUGUCCCCCACCAAAAGCCAGAGUAAACCCCCCCCACACCUGCCUCCAGUAAUUUUAAUAACUCUUGAGUGGAUACAACCCUUCCUGAACUAUUCCCAAGGGAUGAUGAGCCAUCAAGCUAAAGAAACAAGAUUUUUAUGUAGGUGGAGAUUAUCUUUCUUGCCACUACUCAUCUGUCCACAUUUCCUUUAAGUGGGGUCAACCCCUUUGCCCACUGGUCUCCUGCCUCAAUGGAAAACCACAGACUAAAGUCUGCCCUCAAACUCAAGAUCAUGCUCUGAGCUUUUUCUGUCAUUGUCACCUUUGUAAAAACUCACUUCUUCUGGUCCUUAUUUCCCUUAGGAAUCUAUCUUUUGUGGGUAAAUAUGAGUGUUGACAAACUAAUGUACAAGCAAAUUAAUAUUUCAGUUCUUCCAGGCCUUAAUCUUGCUUCAAUAUGGAGCUCCAGAAAUUGAAACUUUUAUAUAUAUAAAAUAAGCGAGGGUAGUACUGAAGUUCUACAGUAAAAGGUGUCUCUAUGGCUAGAAUGUGGUAUACACACACAAACACACACACAAACACACAUACACACAUACACACACACACACGCCAUUACAUACAAAGUUAGAGAAUGCAUUCAUAAUUCACACAUAUAUGCAUGUUUAUGUAUUAUGUAUGUAUUACAUAUGUUCAUCAUUUUAGGCACAGAAAAAUACAGGAAAGGUGUUAUUAAAAGUUUGUAUUUUUAAUGCCCUCAAACAUGCUUAUGCAAACAGGAACUGCAGUAGUUCAAUAUUGGAAGUUACACAUAAUAUGUCGUCCUGUGAAAUGUGUUUAUAGCAGAGGCUAAAAUCUAUUACCAACUCAAACUGUUGAAUUAGCAUUCUAUUAUAUCAUUUGAAAUAAAUGUGCCUGUGCUGGCAUAUUGGAGUCAGGGGUAUAGUGAAUUUUGUUGUCUGUCUUAGAGGUAUUUAAUCUGUGUACUGUUUACAUGCUAAAGGCAUUCCAACACAUAUUCUCUGCAAAAUAUAUAGUAUUUGUAGAGAAAUGAAUGGGCGUGAACAUACUUUAUAUACAAAGAUAUGAAAAAUUGUGCUCUAUAUGUGUAAUAAGAAAUGCAAUGCAUUCUGCUGUUGUGUAUUUAAAAUAAUAAAAUCAAUAAAAAUUGAAAAAAUUAAAAAUAAAUAAAUAAAAGAGACCAGAAUGCUCAGAGAGAGAGAGAGAAAUUAGAGAGCUCGGAAGAUAACCUGUAUAUACCACAUAGAGGAGUGAAUAGAAUCUCAGAAGCAAGGAGAAGCCUGAAAGUUAAACCUGAAUUUUCUUUCAGUGUUCUAUCAGACCAUGGUGCAAGACCUGCUCUUGAGAAUGAAGAGGUAAAGUGAAACACCAUUUUAGUAUUUGCUUUAGCAAAUAUCUUGAACUUACCAAACUGUAGAAUUUUUUUUAAAAAAUGAGAUUAUUUUCCCACUCAGACUCAGUUUUAUGUGUCUUUUAGAACAUUGUACAUCUUAUUCUUUCUAAAGAAGAAAGAAGCUUUUUUGUUGUCAACCUGAGAUUGAAGUCGUAGUAUGGCUGCAGUGUGUAUGUGAAUAAACAAUUGCUUUGACACCGACCCUGGAUUCUGGACAUAGAAAGGCCACAUUUCACCCAAAUCAGGAGAAGCAAAGCAGCUUUUCCUGCAAAGGAGAUGCAGCAAUUGUAUAGAGCACAAUUUGCUCUAUGAUUGUUUUGCCGUCUGUGGUUCAUCCUUCCUAGAAGCUUUUUGGUCAAUUGAAUGGCCCAACAUUCAACCUCAGGCUGACCCCUAACUUUAUUCCUUUUACUUUUGUUACAAUUUCUAAUACGAGUGUAGCUGUAGCGGUGCAAAGGGAAUUGAGAGAAGAUGAAAUUGAGGUUGUUGGAUUGUGGAGGUGAUAAGGAGAAUAAGGAGCUGCUUUCAUUUGAGCACCACAGAGAUCUAUAGAGGCAAUGAAAUUUUACUAGACUAUCUGCCGUUUCUUGUUCUGCUUUUUAUUCAUGUAUGGAAUAGAGGCAAAGAUUAUGAAAGCAAAAGCCCUCCUUCCUCUUUGUACUGUUAACUGUGAUACAUGAGAAAACCUUGUUUGUCAGAAUAAACAUGUAUGGCAAAUUCUGGCCACAGAGACUCCUUUUACUGCAAAACUUUGGUACUACAUUCACCUGAAAUCAAAACUCUAAAAAAUCAAGAUAACAAAAAGAAAAAUACACCAACCAGUUCAGGUGACAAUAAAAAUUUCUGAAGUUUCUAUUGGUUCUGUAUAAAGAUGGGAACAACUCUGUUGAUGCAAACAAAGAAUAUAAUAUUUUCCCAUCAGUUUCAGAAGAAAGAAGCCCCAAAUUCCACUUAGUUUUGUAGUCAUUUCUAUUGUGCUCUCUCGCUCUCUCUCUUUUUUAAUCACACAGGGAAUUAAAGCUGUGACAGCCUACUUUAAGUAAAUAUUGUCUGUGAGGAUUAAGGCAAAGACUAUCGUAUUGAUUAUGUGCUUAAAAAUAAAUUUCAAAAUUAAAAUACAGGCAAUAUUUGUUAGAAACAUCAUUAAGUAUUUUUUCCCACAGAAUUCUGUGAACAGGAAGUUAAAAGGAAAAUAAUUUAUUUCUCCUCAAAAAAUCAAUUUCUCAAUUAUUAAAAAAUGCUAAGGUGCUAGUGAAAUUUUGGGACUAAAAAACAAUAUGUACCAAUACCUGUUUAUCUUCUAACAUUGGCACUUUGUUAUCAAUCAGAACUUUUUUUUUCAGAGAGUAAGUUUCCUUUGCUCUGACAGGGCUAGCAUUCAGUUGUAUGCACUGCUACUAUCUUUCUGGUUAUUUGUAGUGGGAGUGUAAAUUGUACUAAUGGUUAAAUAGUUUAAAUUCUACUCCUGUACUACCAGGAAUACUUUUGUAACUUGAGCCUAUGGAUAUAUACAUGCCCUAACGAAGUCUGUCUUUCUUUUUUUCAGACUUUACUUAUCAGGGAAUUAUAACUGUGUAGAAUAGAAAUGAAUUUUCAAAUCACUCAAUUCCCAAAUACCAAGAUUUUCUAACCACACCGACAUCAAGUGCUACCUGUUACCGAAAGCUCAGUCCUUUUCCCUGGUGCCAAUUCAUGCCAAUUUAAUAACAAGGAAACAGUUUUGAGAAAAAGAAAAAAGGAGAAGAACAGGGGACUCCAAUCCCAGAGGCUGUGGUUCUGCCCAUAAGGGAGAAGAGAGGUGUUUUAAAGAAGCUCUUCAAAGGCUCCAUUUCAGGUGUCCCCUGAUGGUGUGUUGAAAUACACUUGUUAAUUUGGGAGAUAGUCACUUCCCAGAUCUUCUGGUGACAUCUCUUCCUGUGGUAAGUGUUUGUUCAAGGAGAGAUAACUUGGCCUCUGAUGGGAAAAGGUAAUGUUGUUCCCCACCCCUAGGUUAUGGAGGGGGAGAGGGAGAAGAGGAAGAGAAAACAACUGGUCCCUUUUAAACUAAGCAGCAAGGGCUAUCUCCAAAAGGCAGAGUGAACCACUGUUACAUACCCAGUAAGAACUGCUUGAAAUUUAAUGUAGAACAUUCCAAAAAAUUAAUUACAGCUCAGAAAAGCCCUCUAAAUUCCCAUUUAGGUAUUUGCUAUCUCUUCUUGUCUGUCUUAAUCAAACAUCAAGGGAACUGUGUCUAAAUCCAACUUGGAACCUCUGCCCAAGGUACUCUAAGCCUCCAGGUUUCCCAGAGCCCAAUCUAAGUUUGAUUCUUGACAGUCCCUUUCCUUCAACCCCAAAGGUCUUCCACAAGUCCUUCACUUGUGUCUCCAAAGUACAGGACCCACAUGCUUCUGCCAUCGCCCAAGUCUACAUUUUCAGCUUCCUUUGGGUAGGUAACUGCAGGGGCUCCUUAACUCAUUUGGCAUUGCUUCCCCUCCACAUCCACAUCCACCCUCCAGAAGAAUGCCAGAGGAGCCUUGUCACAAUGCACAUAUAAUCCUUAUGACCCCUCUGACUGCACACACCACUUGCUCUGUUCAAGGCAGUGUCUAAAACUAGGAACCUGGUUCUUGUGCAAAGCCCAGAGAGGUCAGCCUUUCCCAGUCUCAUCUCCUUGCUGCUCCCCUUCUCCCUCUGCCUCGGAAGCCUGGCUGACUUCCAUUUGCUCUACCUACCAGGCUCUCUCCCAUCCUCACAGACUCAGACCACCAUACCCAGACACUGCCUGAUUCAUUCUUUGUUAACACUUUUAAAAUAACUAAAAUGUCAAUUCCCCACAUGUGCCAUCUCUUCUCUACUAGACUGAUUCAAAUGUUCUUAUAAUCUACAUACACAUACAUAUAUAUUUGCAUGCAUAGAAAUUUGUACAUAUUUAUGUAUCCAUAUCCUUCAUUAUAGUUAGAAAAGUUGUAAAAUCACAUUUAUUUGUGUAAUUAUUUAAUUAACCACUUAGGGACCUAUCUAAUUUUGAUGGUCCUUGUAUUCCUAGCAAAUGCCCAAAUGCCUGAUUCAAGGACAGAGUGGAAUAGCUCUUCAAUAAAUGUUGGAUGGACUUGUUUUUCUUUAUCUCUCUACAUGCAUACAUAUAUACUGCACAAAUUCAUAUUCUAAUGAAAAAUAAAUAAUGAAUGCCAGCUAUAAGCCUCACUUUUUUCUUCGUGACCUCCCCAAAUAUCAUGCUCCUCUUCUCUCUUUUCUCUCAACAGUGCAGAGGUGACUUAAAUAAUACUACAUUUACUUAGAAAAUGAGGCUGGUCUGUUUAUUACUCUCCUCCAAAACAAAUUCCUAGGCAUGCAUUUUUACUAUUUCCUAUAGCACGUGAAAUUUUUGAUAAUUUCUGGAGUUUUAAAAAGGUUUUACUUUGAAGGGGGUUUAUGCUGUUCUGUGUGUACACAUUUCAGCAUGAAGCAGUGGUUUAAGCUGUGCCCAUGUUGGAGAAAAGAGAAAAACAAAUCAUCUGACUUACUAUUCACAUGGCUCCCAUAUGAAGAUAAAGGAGAUUAAGGAGAACAAAAAUUAAAAUAAGAAUAAAUAUGUGAAGUUGAAAGAAUAAUGUAAAAGUAUAUUAUAAUUUAAAGAUUCACAUGUUUAAGAAUUACACAAAGCCUUCACGCUAGGAUGGAAAUUGUUAAGGAAGAGAUUGGAUGCUUACUAUGUUUUAUGAGCUAUGCUAAUAUUUGUGCCUACAUUCAAAUUGCUGCACUAACAUUGAGCUGGGUUGGCUUCCUUCUAAUUGAAGACUUUCCUGCUUGAACUAUUUUAGGGGACCCUGAUAAUUCUAGAAUACCUGGUGCCAGAAAUCAAGGAAUUGCUCAAAAACUGACGGGGACAUAUCAGAGGGACAUAAGAUUCAGGUUUAAGGGACUCCUGCUGGCCAAAUUUGAGAUCUUGUGAACAUAAAAAGUAAUGACAUAUGUAACGGAUUAGAGCACAUUAAAUAAGAAAAAAAUCCACCUGCUAGUGGUGUGUAUAUGAGCAGAUAGAGUAGAUAGGAGGAAAGCUCUGCUUCACUGAGGCUUACAAGCUGAUAAGUGGAAGAAACGAUGGAAUGAUAAUACUAUGUUUGCAACCACCGAUUGCAAGAAUAAUCAAAAGAUGUUCCAAUAUUGGGUGAAUGGUUGCUGGGGAAAGGAUAGUCACACAAAUCAUUUUUUUAAUUAUAAGGGGGAAAAAUACCUUUAUAAGAAGCCAAGACACCAAAUAAAACAAAUGAUCAGACUUGACAUCACAAAUCUGAAAUCAUGUGCCUUUGGUAUGGUACAUGGAAAAGGAUGCACUUGCUUCUUCAAUAUUCUGUCAAAAAAAGUUUAGAACCAAAUUACGAAAAAAUAAUCAGACAAAUUCAACUUGGUGAAUGUUCACCAAUACAACCAACCAGGACACUUCAGAAAUGUUAAUGUUAUUUUAAAAAUAAGAGUCUGGACAAUUGUGCAGGACUAAAGAAGACUUGGAGACCUGGCAACUAAUUGCAACACGUUCUUCUUGAUUGGAUUCUGGAUAAGAGGGAGUUACAAAGGAUAUUAGUAAUGGGACAACAGGAGAAGUGGUCUAUAGAGCAAUGGCGUGAUGUGAAUGUAAUAUUCAUGUUAAAUUUCCUUAAUGUGUGAUAAUCAUACUGGAGUUAUAUAGGAGAUUAUGUCUUUGGGAGAGGGUAUACUUAAAAGUAUUUAGGGAUGAAAUUUCAUGAGCACUGCAACUUACUUUCCCAUGCUUCAGCAAAAAUCUUUUUAAAGUGUGAGUGAUAAACAGAUAUGAUGAAUGUCAACAAUUGUUUAAUGUAGAUUCAGUUUGUACACUAUUCAUUAUAUUAUUGUGGAUCUUCUCUGUAUGCUAGACAAUUUUUUUAAAUAAAAAGUUGAAAAUAUUCUAUGAUUUUGAGCCAACUGUCCAAAUGAUGAGAUAAUUUUUAUAUAUUGAAACGAGCUGACAUGUUCAAAAGGUUUUUUUAACCAAUUAGUAUCCCCUAAACUAGCUAAAUAUCUUUCUUCAGCAUGCCAUAAUAAUUCUAUAGCUUAUAUUUAGACACUUAAGAAAAAGCUAUCUGUAAAAGUAUAUGUUGCAGGCAAUAUAGGGGUUAAAGCUUAAGAUGGUAGUAUUAAAAAUAUUAAAAUACUACUUUUUCUGUUUCUCAUAUAUAUGAAAACUUUUCAACAUGGGAAACCUUAAGGGGAAAUUAAGCAUCUAUGGGAAUAUAUCAUUUUCUUCUGCCAUAUUGUUCCUAAACAUUGGUGCUUGCCCACAAAAAAUAAGCCUAAAUUUACUGAUGACUACUACUAAAAUCUGUACAACCUAGCAGAAUGCAAUGUGCAUUGUAGACUAGAUCCCAGGAAGAUUUAAGAUGCAGCGGGAUUCUCAACUGCACAUUGUCAGGAAGUGCAGCAAGCACUGUGAGUACUUCUGUAUUAGAAAACCAUACUUAAGGUCCAACAGCAUACAUUUAUGAAUAUCAAAAAACAAACUUCCCCUUUAGUUAAAAAAUAGUUAUUGAGGAUCAGUUCUAUGUGAGGCACAAAGUAAAUGAGGUUGAGUAAAAAUUCUUACAAAAUUUAUAAAUAAAAAUUUAUUUCUUCAGAAAGAUUUAAAUUUAAAAAUAUUUAUUUAAAAUACACCUUCUACUAUUAAAACAUAUGAUGUCACAUUCCUACUCAGGUUCCUGCAGAAGUGCUUUGCCUUGUGCUAAGAUAAUGUUUAGGGCUCUACAGGGUAUGUAUUUUCACGUAACCACAGGAAGUGGAGAGGUAUUUUUUCAUAUAUGAUAUUAACAAAAGAACCUAUAGCCAGGUACAGUGGUGCAUGCCUGUAAUCCCAGAACUUGGAAGGCUGAGACAGGUGGAUUGCAAGUUGGAGGCCAGCCUCAGCAACUUUUUGAGGCUCUAAGCAACUUAGUGAGACCCUGUCACAAAAUUUUUAAAAAUUACAUAUAACAACAAAAAGGUUUGAAUUUCUGAAAAACCUGAAAAAAAUGGUGCCCCUUAUUAGGAGAAGGAUUGGAAUUUUUGAAAAAUCUGGAAAAAAAAUGGUCUCUUGAUACUGACAACCUAUACUGUCCAAAAUUUCACUAUAGUAGAUUCUCCUUGAAAAAAAAAAAUGCACACACACGCACGUAGUUCAUUUGUAGCUUGUAUUAACACAAAUAUCAGUAAUUUAUUUGAACUAGGUAUUGUUUUAAUAAGGGGAAAAUACUAAAAAUUGUUAUGGGGAAGGAGCUAUCAUUAGAAAGUUUUGAUCAUCUUCAAAUAAAUGUAAUAAUAGCUUUGCUCAGACACCAUCACCCUCUGCCACUCCCAGCCUCUCAUGUUUGUAUUAGUGGUGAAACAAAGGGUACCAGGAUACCCACAGUGCUACCGAGAGUUUUAAGACCUGAGAGAACUGGAUGGAAUUGAAUUUAGUGAUCUUAUUAAACUUUUAAUAUAUUUUUAUUUCAUAUUUUUUCAAAAAGUUCCAAGACCAUGAAUAACAAGUGAAAAGUUUGAAUUUAUAGCAAUAGGAAAGGCGGACUUCCAUACAAAAUUUGGCAUUAAAACAGAGCAGGUAUGCAAACAAUUUUUGUAGGUAAUUAUUGGCUGGAAGCUAUUUAUACUCUAAGUUUAUUGCAUAUACACAUAUGAUAAUAAGACUUUGCACAAAUGGAAACUUUUGAUCAUAAAUCCAUGUAAAAGAUUUUGCCUUGGGAGUAAUUCUGGAUGUUAUGAGUAUAUUUGAAUUCCCUUGCAAACAAUGCAGAUUUCUAGACCAAGUAAGUACCCAUUUUUCACUCAUGAUAUUUAAUAGGUCAUUGUACCUAAAGUCUUAGAAAGGACAAAUGUAGUUGUUCUAUCUGUACACGUAUUAAAACCUUGCAACUGCAGAAGAAAUUGCAAAGUAGAACUGUGAAUCUUGUCACCAGCAGUAACCUAGACUAUAGUCAGACUCAUAAUUAUCAGAAAUAAAUACCUAAUCUUUACCUGAGAAGUCCUCUUAUCAUUACAUAUUGGAGUCAUUGAUUAACUGGGGUCUUCGUGGUGUCUACUUAGUCACUUAGAAAAAGCAUUAGUAGAAUAAAAAGCAUUAGUAAAAUAAAAUCUAGCACAGCUGUGUUAAUGAAUCUAAUACAUUUAUAACACUUAAUGGAAUUGUACACUUCUCCCACCUAAGCCAGUUUCACUAUAUGUUAAUAAAAAUCAAACGUAGUAUCCUUCCAUUCCCCUUUCUUGUUUUAGAUUUUGGUUUUUAAUUUUUAUUAUUAUGUUGUAUUUCAUAUUUAGAUGAAAGCAGUUCUCAAAAAUCAGUCUUUUCAGGACUGUUUUCCUUUCUGCGUUAUUUUGGUUUAUGUUGGAGAGCUGAUUUCAUUAAUAAGAAGUUUAUCCUAGAAGAACUCAUUGUGGACUAUUCUUCCUGAUUUUCCGUGCCUAAUCCACAUCUCCCCUACCUCCACCCUUUCCCCUUGUCUCUGGUCCAUAAGCCUUUUUCUGAUAGUUUUCCAUUCUUGAAGGAGACCGACAAGGUGAAAUGGCAAAAGGUGGUGUACUGGGCUGUCUACAGGUCUGGUAUGGGUCUUGUCCAGAAUAUUCUGUCUCACCAAAAUCAUUUCAUUUGCCUUCACGUUGGAACAUUCAGAAGCUUGUAAGUCUGUGUUGUGAUUUGGUGGUCACAGCUCCAUCCCUUUUCUUCCAUAGUAGCUCCAGCAUGGAGACCGCUCCAUAGCUAAUAAAAGUGGUAAGUGACUGUGUUAUUUUCUUCAGCCCCAUGUCCCCAGCCAUUCUGAGUUUCAACAGGGAAACAUACACUUCCCACAUAGCCUAUUUAUGCCCCAGAUCUCACUGUUCCAACCUAAGUUUUUCUGGACAGACUUUUGAGACUAUAUUGUUCUUAUGAAAAUCUAUCCAGCUCCAGGUUUGAGAGUGGUUUUAUCAAUUCUUACCUUUCUCUUAUUUCCCUCCAGAUUUUAAAGAAUUUGGCAGGUAUUCUUUGCAGUUAUUAGUUAGUUCUUGUCCUUUUCUUAUUUGAUUAAAAAUGAAGUUCUUGGGCUGGGGCUGUAGCUCAGUGGAAGAGCACUUGCCUAGCAUGUGUGAGGCACUGGGUUUAAUUCUCAGCACAACAUACAAAUAAGUAAAAUAAAGGUCCAUCAUCAACUAAAAAAAAAAUGAAGUUCUUUUCCUAUUUUGUGUACUUACUAUUUUUUAUUAUAUUAUUUCAAAGAAAAAAAGUGAAGUUAAAAAGGCUUUACGUCACCAUUAGCAGAUAUUUCAGAGUUCUAGUCACUAAUUUAUUUGCAUUAAAUAUUGUAUUAAAUGCAGAAAUUACAUAAAUUGAUAAUUCUAAAAAUAAUAAAAAAUAAGCAGGGUGUGCCUGCUCUGAAUAUAAGGAGAAAUAACGUUUUCCAUGUCCUCAAGGUGUCCUGCUUUUGUCAGGGGAGAGUAACCACUGAGAUCGACACAGCAUCUCGACUGUUUCAUACAAUGAAGGUGUAUUUCCACUCAAGUCACAAUCUGAUGACGAUCAAUGGAAACAUUCUCUUCCAGGAAGAUUUCAGGGAUCCAUGUAACUUUCACUUAACAGUUCUGCAGUCUUUCUGUGCCUUGAAGUCUUCCACUGUUUCCUCUGCAGAUAAGAGAAUAGAAAGAUAAUGUGAAGAACUUGUAAGAUAUUUGUAGGGGCCAAGCCUCACCGUGGUAUGUAUGACUUUUAUUCAUAUUUCACCUUAUUGCAAAGGGACCAGAAAUAGUGGCCUGCAUUUGAGUUCAGGAGGAAGAGAAAGGGAGGAUUCAGGGAACAAUAUUGUCUGUACUACACCCUCUUCAGGCUGCUCUCAUUCUUACCUGCAAGAAGUAGCCAACUUACAUUUUAUGUUAAGGAUUCACUUGUUUUGCAUAUGUGCACAAAACCCAAACAAAAUCUUGUUUAAUUUUUUUCUGCCUUUGACCUUUAAUAAGAAGAGACUCAUACUGUUCACAUAUGUGACUUCUUUUUGUUUAGAUUUUUAUUGUUUGAAAAUAAUAGAUGUUUUCUAGAAAUUGGAAAUAAUAUAUAGAAUGUGUCCAUUACAUAAGGUUUUAAAAUUUAUUUUUCAACUAAUUUAUUCUUGCUGAUUUGGACUGAAUGUUCUAUCAAUUACUGAAGGAGAGAGAUUUAAAAAUAUGCCAAUUUAGGAGAAGUAUCCAUUUAGUGAUGGAUUUAUCCAUAUUCUUUGAUUUUUCUGUCAUUUUCGCCUUAUGUUUUUUUAAGCAUGCUAUUAUGUGCAUACAAAUGUAGGACUGUGAUAUAGUUCUAGUGAAUUUUAUAUUUUAUUGAAGUGUAGUCACUCUAUCUGUGUAUAGCAUUGAAUUUUAACAUCUGUUUUGUCUGACUGUGGUAUAGCUACCAUAUUUCACCACAUAAUUUUUGCAGAUUUUAUGCUAAUUUUUUUGUAAGAAAGAGGGGUGUGACCAUUAUGUGAAGCUUUUUAUAAAAAAUACACUGAUAUUGCUUAAAAAUUAAUUUGUUACUAAGCUGUCUUCAAUACAAGAAUUGGAUGCAUGGAAUACUUGUGAGAAUAUGUUAAAAUUGCAUAGUCCAAAUCAAUGCAUAAAAUUUUCUUGUGAAAGUUUAGCAAACAUUUUUCUGAUCUAAAAAGGAAAGUUAACACAUUAGUAGUUAUUCACUUAUGCAUAAUAGUCAAAUUAUUGCAUUUGAAAAAAUUUACUACAGUGUUGGAAAGUAUUGACUUGUAACAUCUAAUCUUCUAUGUUGGAAGAUUCACCACUGCUAUUGUUUUGUUGUCUGAUGCACCACCCCCAGGACCAUUCACAUAGGAUGAGUUUACCCUUAGUACUGCAGCCUCUGGACAGACCUUGCAAGUUGGCUUUUGGAAAUACACGGACGGUACAUGUGUGCAGAGAAUCCUAGGCUCAUGGCUCACAGUGUGUUGAGAGGACAAAUGAGCAUCCAGAUGCCACUGAUGUAUACGUUGUUGCUCUGUUACUUUUGAAGUGACAUGAGGAACAGAAUUAUACCAAGUGACAAUUAUUAAGGUUAUAAAUGGAUCUGGAGGCUGAAAAGGGGUGUGAUAAUUAUGCAGUGGCAAUGAUUAUACAGUGAAGUAGGGUACACCAACUUGCCAGUGAUUUGUAAUUCCUUGGUUAAUAUUAAUACAUUCUCUGUUUACUUUGAAAUCUGUCUUCAUGGUUUAAGAUUGUCUCUUAUACAUUAUAUCUGGUUGGAUUUUGAAAAAAAAUCCAUUCUAAUAUUUAUUUAUUUAUUAACUAAAGAGUUUUUGCCUUUUCACUUUUAUUGUGAUUACAAAUCUAUUUGAGCUCAUUUCUGCUCUCAUUUUUUAUUCCUACUCUACUUUUCCAAUAACUCUUAUUUUUUAUUUCUUUUCUUUUACAGAACUUUUCAUACGCCUUCCUCCCAAAUAAUAAAUACUGGAAUGCUUUCAUUUUGAUCACUCCUCUCCUGACUUUUAGGCUAUUGCUUUCUUCACAUGAAUUAGAGUCUAUUGUUUUUAUAAAUAGUAAAUAUUUUAGAUUUCUCUAAGUGCUUACCAUUUUCUUUGCUCAGCACCCCUUCAGUCUGCCCUUUCAUUUUAAUUCUUGAAAGACAGAUUUUGCCAGGUCUGUGAAUCUGUAGGAAUAGUCACUGCAUUUUAGCAUCUUGCACCUAAGUUCACCUAAGUUUUUUUUUCCUUUCCUACAAAAGUAGAAAUAUUCUUCCUAAAGCUAGAAGUGUCUUGCUCUUCUGUUUGCUCAAGGUUCUAAGUCCUUAUCACAGACUCAAGCAAACUCUUUUUUUUUAAAUUUAUGUAUAACAGCAGAAUGCCUUACAAUUCUUGUUACACAUAUUGAGCACAAUGUUUCAUAUCUCUGGUUGUAUACACAGUAUAUUCACACCAAUUUGUGUCUUCAUACCUGUACUUUGGAUAAUAAUGAUCAUCACAUUUCACCAUCAUUAAUAACCCCAUGCUCCCUCCUUUCCCUCCAACCCCUCUGCCCUAUUUAGAGUUCGUCUAAUCUUUGCAUGCUCCCUCUCCCUACCCCACUAUGAAUCAGCCACCUUAUAUCAAAGAAAACAUUCAACAUUUGGUUUUUUGGGAUUGGCUAACUUCACUUAGCAUUAUCUUCUUGUAAUUCUAAAUGCCAUGAUUUUAUUCUCUUUCAUUGCUGAGUAAUAUUCCAUUGUGUAUAUAUGCCACUCACUCUUCAUCAUUGUCUAACUAUCCUAUUGAAAUGUUCAAACAACACAUCAACCAGUUUUACCUUCCAAAAAAUCUCUGCCAAUCCUUUGUCCUACUCCUGUUCCUGUUUGAUAUAUUUGCUGCCCCCACUCCCUGCAAGCCUGUUUGCAGUGGCCGGUCAUCCUGGCCAUCCUGGCCAUUCCUGGCCAGGAAUAAGAAGUCAUCUCUUCUUAUUCCUGUUUUGGACCUACUGGUUUUUGUACCCCGAUUUCUUCCUCUGGUCUUCCUCCCUUGCUUUAUUAGGUCCUCCUAUGGGUUUGGGGGAGGUAAAUUUUUUCAAGAAUUUGUCUGAAAAUGUUUGUUCUACAUAAACCCUUGAUUGAGACUUCAGUAGAAUUUGGUAGCUUAUAAUAGAAUUUUAAGUAAAAAUCAUUUUUCUGGAGGAUCUUGAAAACAUUCUUGCUCCAUUCCUUGUUCUAAAUUUCAGUGUUGCUAAUUGACAAGUCGGAACAAUUCUGGUCCUUGAUCUUCUGGAUGGAAUCUACUUGUUUCUCUCUGACACAAAACACAAUCUUUUCUUUAUCCUUAGUGUUCUGAAAUGUCAAGAUGAUGCAUGUUUCUUUCUUAUCCAUUAUGAUAAGUCCUUUGGUGAUCUCUUUGAGUCUGAAAACUCAUACCCUUCAGUUCCCCCAAGUUUUCUUGAGUUAUAUCACUCAUGAUCAUCCUCAUUUUGAUUUCUCAGUUCUCACCAUCUAGAGUUCUCAUUAUUUAGAUGCUGACUUUCUUAGAUUAGUCCUAUUUCCUGGAUUUAUUUAUUUAUUUUUUCCUGUCCAGUUUUUCAAUUCUUUGUUCUUUAGUACUGUUUCCUGAAAAAUCACUUUAAUUUAUCUCUUCUAAAUAUAAUGAGUUUUUCAUUUGGUUUCAUUUUUCAUUUGUAAGAACUUUUAUUGCUCUCUGGUUUCUUUCCUUUCUAUUAACUAUAGGGUCCUGGGGAAUGUGUGGCACAUUUCCUGGGUUUUAUGGCACACAGUUAUCUUGCUUCUUGUUAUCUAUGGAAACACUUUGACUUUAGCUUUUAUGAUCUUUUAAGUUAGUUAUCACUCCUCUGUGUUCCACAUUCUAAAACUUUAUGAUUCUCUCUUUAUCUCAUAAUCAUCUUCUCCCUCCUUCUCUACGUCUUUGCCAUUAUAUUUCUCAUCUAUUUUAGGGGGACUUGAGCAAGGAUCAGUACUGAGUCCAGUCGACCCCCAUUUAACUAGAAAUCCUCUACAUCAAUCAGCUAACAAAUGAAUUAAAAUUGGCCAGUAUAUUAAUAGCUUUAAAACAUGAAUAGUUACUUAUAAAUUUUAUAGUAUCCUUGAGACUUCUGAAUACUUUUCUAUAUAUUUUAUUAUAUUUCUCACUUUCUGGAAUAUUAAUUUUCAGAGUUAUAUAUAAUUCUGUUUUGAUUUGUAGGCAUGAUUCUAGGCUUAUCUCUAUAUGUUUAUAUUAUUUCUAUAACUACCUUAGGGAGUUUCUUUGAAAUUUUAACCUGAGCCCUGUGUUUUUGUGAUGUAUCCUUGGAAUAUGCCUCAAGAGUUUAUUAGAUGAUUUUUGUCACAUAUAUUUGCAGCUUUAUUUUUCUUCUUAAAAUCAAGAUUCCUAGUUUAGCACCUUUACUGCUUGAGUUCAUGCUGUUUUGCUAUUAAAUGGUUGCAGGCUAGCCACAUAUGGGCUAAAAUGUGAAACAAGGAGUAUAUAGUAAAACUCAAUAAAUAUGCAUAUGUGAUUGCUUGAAGCUAGUGAUGAUGCUUGGCUCACAAACUUCACUAUCUAUAAGAAACAAAUCAUAUUCAUUUUAGAAUAUGCAUACACCUGUACUGUUUUUACAGAGUUUUAUGUUAGCCAUAGAAUUUUACUAUUGUGGUGAAAGCUGUAUUAUUCUUUUUAUAAAAGAAAUUAUACAAUAACAACACAUCAGACAUCUAGAUAAUAUAUAAUGAAGAAAAAAAUCAAUCUCCCAAAUAGGUGUAUUGAUUUUCUAGCUAAUCAUCAACAGAAAUAACUACCUAACAUAUCUAGCAUUAGGAAGUUGUAUUCUACAUAAAUACAAUACCACUUCAAGGAUUUUAUUGUUCCUAUAAUGAGCAGAUGGGGGAAUUUGAUGCUAUAUAUAGGUGAUAACAUAAAACACUUCUUACCUAGAUAAAUAAGAACAAGUAGCCAUAGGAGUUAUGUAUGUUUUAUUGACUCACUAUAAAAAUAUUUAUUUGAACUUAUAUGUAGACAAGUUGUUGACUAUGGAGCUAUGCCAAACUCUUUCCCUAAAUUAUCUAUGUCAGGAAUUUGUUGCAUAGAUGUAGUCUUAGCUAUUUGACAUUAAGUAAAUGCAGAGAUGGCUAUUUUCACCAUAAAAAUUGACAUUCCAAAGCCAGUUUGACCCACUCUGCUUUAUAUUGCAGCUAACAUUCUAAUUUGAAUCACUGUUUGUAUAAGAAGCAAGUGGGAGAGAUCAAAAUGACUUUCUGGCAUCUCAUUGCCAGUAGCUUUUAAAUGCUACUGGGUUUUGUUUACUUGUUUUCUCAGAUUUUUCAAAAGUUGAAAUAUUGCUGUGAAACUUAAAAUUCUGUGUCUGUCUCUCUUUCUGUCCUGUAUUGUCCUCCUUUUGAAAGAGCUUGCUUUCAGUCAUAAUGCCCCCACCAAAUUCACUAGAUUUUAUGAAGUAUACUUUCCCCCUGAAAGGUACUUUGUGUAAUCGACAUGAAAAAUUUAUGUCCUGUUUUAAUUGAAACAAAUGCAAAAUUUUAAGUUAUUAUUACAUAGUACCCACAGUACCCCAUUAUUAUUUAAAGUUCAGGGAGAUAUCUAUAUCUAUAUCUAUGUAUAUGUGUAUAUAUAUAUAUAUAUAUAUAUAUAUAUAUAUAUAUAUAUAUAUGAUAUAUAUAUAUGUCAUAUAUAUAUAUAUAUAUAUAGAGAGAGAGAGAGAGAGAGAGAGACUUAGCUAUAUACACACAUACACACACAAACACACACACACACACUAUCUUUCCCUUACUGCACACUACAGUAAACACACACAUUUUUCUUCUCAGUCUGACACUCAGACUAAUGGUAGUGCUAGAAAAUUCUUCAUCUUUCAGUUCCAUUCUUCCAAAUCUCUUUGGUCUUUUAAACUUUUUUUCUCAAUACAUUCUACAUUAACCAAGUCAUCUUCUCUGAUCUUGUAUUUUUCUUCUUGGUUUUUUAUUUUUGUCCAUGUUUGAUAGUAAACCCUCAUUCCUACUAUUCCUUAAAUCCAUCCCUUUUUCUUGUGUUCAUGUAUUUUAAAUGUCUGUUCAUUUAAUGGUCAAUGAUAAUCUUCUGUGUUGGUUUCUUAAUCACAGAUUCAUCAUGAUCUGCUUCCUAUUACACAGUCCUUUCCUUUUGAAUUUCUUUUAGAUCCUGAUGCUCUAUUACUUGGACUGAAGGAAACCCUGAGGCUGUAACCUGUACCCUGUUUUAUGCUCCCAUUUUCUCUGUGGAUGCGCUCGAGUAUAAGCAUCAUUUUUAUGGUGCCAAUUCUCAUAACACCAUUUGUCCAUUCAAUCAUGCCUGGAUUAUUGUAUCUACUUCUGAGCCCUGCAUUUAAAGAAAAGCAUUAACAAACUCAAAUAUGUCUGGAGAGGAUGAUUAAAUUGAUUGAAUGCUUCUAAACCAUGUCCCAUGAGGAAUGGCUGAAGGAAUUGUAUAUAUUUAUUGUUUAUCCUGAAGUAAAAAAGAUUGAGGGUAGACAGAAUAAUUGUUUUCAAUAAUUGGAAAGUCUGUCAUGUAAAGGAGGGAACAGAUUUGUUAUGCGUUGUUCUAGAAAGCUCCACUAGAACCAACUUAUGCAAAUUGUGAAAGGAGACAUUACAAUAUUCUCUAAUAAAGAUCAGGGAUUAAAGCCUAGUCCUUCGACUUUUCCUACCGUGACCAGCAAGGGCUUUAGUCAUACUGGGGCUUUGUGAAUACUGAUUGAUUGAACGGAGUGGACAUGAAAGAAUAAACCUCUCUAACAGUAAAAAUAGAAUGCUUUUUGAAGUAAAAAUAUUCAGUCUUUCAACAAAUCUUUAUUGAUUAUCUAUGGUACAGCUGUCUCUGUGCCUGAAAUCAGAGUAUUAAAAGAUUUGUAUCUUAAUAUUGUAGAGCACUUUUUUGGGUAAGGCAUUCUUCUAGAUAUUUCCACAUGUUAUUCCAUAGCACCCUCAUAUGAUAGGUACUUUAAUUUUCCCAGUUAGAUGUGAGAAAACUGAGGCACCUGGAAGUCAUAUAAUGAGCUGUUUCACAAGGCUGAGAAGUGACCAAGCUGUAACCUAAACCUGGACAGGCAGGCUCUAAGAUCUGUAUCCUUCACCACUGUGAUAAACUUCCUCCAAGAGGAUUGGGGAAUUGGAACAUGAUCCAGUCUGGUCCCUUCUCUGCAGAUUCCUUGCUGAAUGGCUAUCCUGACUGCCUCUGUGGUCUUCUUACCUUUUAGUCCAUCUGUACCCUAUGUCCACAUGCAAACCUGAUCAUUCCACUCCCCUGGACACUUCCAUUGGUUUCUCAUGUCCACAGGACAAAGCUAAUCUCCACAGGUUAGGUCCCUCUUCACCUAUACCUCUUUCUUCAUCUCUCCCUGAACCCUGAACCAAACCAUGCAGUUAAAUGAAUCUGUUAUGCAGAUUUCUUGUUUGGGGAGAAAACAGGGUAAAUGUGAGAAUUAAUCAAUAUAAAAUAUUUAAAACUGCUUUCAAUGCAUUGACUACUCAAAGAAACGUUAGCAUGUUUAUUUCCAUCUACUCCUGAUGAUCCUGUAAGAGUUGCUGUACACAAAGUACAGUUUAUUCCUUAGUUCUCCUGCUAUAUGGACAACUGCUUUGUAGUAGGACUGAGAAGUAAAGCAGAUUUGUUGGGUCACCUAAUUAAUUCAGAGGCAGAGUGGAUGCAGGAACAGUCCAGUCACAGUGUUUCCUCUGCAGACUUCUGUACUUUGCCUUCCUCUGGGCCGACUUCUCUUUCAGAUUGGCUUUCCAUCAGGGCAACUAAAAGGCGUCCAGCCAGCCACCACAAGAGCUACAUAUAGGCUUUGUUGCUCACAGUCACCACGGGAGAAAACAUUACUUCCUACAUAACCAUUCAGUGGAAGCUCUGAGCUUCAUUCUGGGUAAAUCACCUGCCAAACAGUCACUAUGACCAGGGAAACCCAGAGUCAGCUGUAGUAGUGGGUUUUGAGUGGUGAACCCUAGAAAAUAUGUUCAGAUCCUUAUCCCAGAAACUAUGACCUUAUUUGGAAAAAGGGUCUCUGCUAUUGAAAUUAGGUUAAAGAUCUUGAGAUGAGAUCACCAUGGAUUAUCUGGAUGGUCAGUUACUCCAAUAAAUAUCUUUGUAAGAGACAAAAGAGGACACACGAAGGAAAGGAAAAGGUAAUGUAAUGUCAGAGACAGAGACUGGAUCUAGGCAACCACAUGCCUAAAGUCACUAGAAGUCCACAAAGCGAGGAGGGAUUCUCUCCUUUCUUUUUCUAUUAAGGGGAGCAUGACCCUGAGUAUACCUUGACUUCAGACUUCUGGCCUCUAGAACUCUGAGAAAAUAAAUUGCCGUUGUCUUAAGCCACCAUAUUUGUGAUAAUUGGUUAUGGCACACACAGAAAAGUAAUUAAAUGGCCAUUCCUGGGUCAACUAUUUUGAUCAGGAGCAUCAGAUUUGCAGUCAGGAUUAUGCUAUUUCAGGCCUGUUCAUGGAUCUGAAGGUGGGGACAAGCCAUUCUAAACUAACUUCCACAGAAAGGCAGAAGGAUAUUGGAGAGGCAACACAAUAGUCACUUCAAUAUCCUCUAAUUCCAAUUUCUAUUUUACCCAUUUCUUUUGGGUAUCCCACAAUGGAUCCCAACCAUGGACUUUAAGCCAUAAGCAUUUCUUACAUUACACUAUUAUUUCUAACAAUCAUAUCAUUUGACUUGCUAUUCCUUUAGCCAGUCCAUAAUUGUCUCUUGCCUCAUCUGUCAUAUCCAUUACUGAUAACUCCUUCUAGUUGUCUUAGAUAUGACUACCCAAAUUGACAUGUUCUGGUAUCACAUGGUUAAAGCCUAGGAUUUUUUUAAAAAAUGGCUUAAGGGCUCCCUCUAUCUUCAUUGAUCCCUUUAGUAAAAUACAAUGGAUUCUGUUCAUACCUUGUGUGUUGCUUAAUGUUAUUCCAAUGAUUCUCAAUAUGGGUUUGUUAAUGGUAGUCCUGACGCUUCUUGACUGGCAUAAAUACAUGUUAAAAAUUCUUAUGAUUGCAUAUAAAUAAAUAUAAAAUACAGCACUCUUUAUGUUUCAUCCCUACUAAGCAUUUUGAAAUAUUUCAAACUUUAAAAUCUAACUUAGACUGGGGAACAAGUAAAGUCAAAAGAUGGGAUGAACAGUCCAUUUAGCAAUAAUCUCUGCAUUUUCCCCCUCUAAGACAACUAUUUGUAAUGGUCUUUGGUUUUAAUUUUAUGUAGUCUUUGAAAUAGGCUAUUGUUGCUUAAAAGAGAAACUUCUAUAUUGAAUACUAAAAUGUAAAAUAUAAGUUUAAAACUUUUUCUUCUAAAACAAAGAAUUUGAGGGCAAAGCCUUGUCUUGUUAAAAAUUUUAAUUAUAAUUGGAUCUUAAUUGCAAUGACUAAAAGCAGAAGGUACCUGUUAAAUAAAUUACACAGGGAAUCUAAGCAACAAGAUAUAUAAGAAAGCACCUACAAAUUAGUGUCUAGUAAAGAAAUAUAUUUCUGUGUCUGUAUGACAAAACACAUUGAACAGUUAAGUAAUUACAGGAGGGGACCAUGAAACACUAAACCUAAGAAACCAUUUGAAAAAAAUCAUCAUUAUUCCAUCCAUUCAUAGCAAUUUUAACCAUCUUCCUUCAAAAUGAUAUUUUGUAAUGGUAUUGCACUGUGUUAGUUUCUCUCUCUCUCUCUCUCUUUCUCUCUCUCUCUCUCUCUCUCUCUUUCCUAUUAAAGCAAAUAAUCACAGAUUUGGUGGUUUAAAAACAGCACAAAUUUACAGUUAAAUAGUUCUAUAGGUCAGAAGUAAGAUAUGAGUUACAAUCAAGUUUUAGCAGGGCCAGAUUCUUUCCUGAGGCUUUGAGUGGGAUCCAUUUCCUGUCUUUUCCAACUUCUAGGAACCCAGUUUUCUUUGACUCAUGGUUUCCUUCUCCCAUCUCCCAAAAUAACUAAGGUGAACAAGUCCUUUCUGUAGACUCCUCUUCUGUUUCCUUCUUCCAGUCUUUGGGACCCUUGGGCUGAGAUGGUGUCCACCAGAUAAUUCAGAAUAAUAAUUCGAUAUGUUCAGUUCAGCUGUCUGGCAGUUUCAUUCCAUCUGCAACCUCAAUUCUUCAUCACCAUUGACAGUGAUGUAUUUGUAGGCCUCAGUGAUUGAAAGGUGGACAUUUUGUGGUUGGGGGCAUUAUUUGGCCUUCCAUAUGUACCACUGUUAAAUUCCAGAUCUUGAUCAUUGUGGUAUGAAUAUAUAACAUGCAAUCACUGGAGGAAGCUGGAUACAGACAUUCAGGAGUUUACUAUUUUCAUGUCUACGUGAAUCUUAAAUUAUUUCAAAAUGAAAGUUUCUUUAAAAAAACUUUCUUGUGGGAGGAAUGGGGGAAACAUAUAGACAUGCUUGCAGAAUUUCAGGAAUUAUAGUGAUCAUGAUGCACUGCUAACGGUCACACUGGUAGAACAAAUAUUCUUAAAAAAAGUAGAAUGAAGAAAAUAAUAGAAGUGAGAGCACAAAUCAAUAAGCAGAGUACCAAAUAUAAUAGGGAAAUUAUGAUAUACUUUUACAUAAAACAGAAAAAGCUCUAGAAAAAGUCAAAAAAUAAGAGAAAAGGUGCAUAUAUCUACAUUAGGACUAUAAAUGGAACUAUACCUACAGCUGCAAAAGAGAUCUUUAGAAUCAGAAGAAAAUCCUAUGAACAACUUUGUGCCUAUAAAUUAGACAACUAAUGGGAAAUGAUAAUUAUUUAGACAAAUGUAAUUUUCCAAAGGUGAUUUUUAAAAGAAAGUAAGAUAUUGGAUCAGCAAAACCAAACAAUGUUCAAGUACACACACACACACACACACACAGAAUGUAAUCUAUAACAAAAUCAGCAUUGAAAAUCAGAAGUAAAAUAUUAGACUAUAAAAUAGAUUUGAGUGCAUGUUAGCUCUAUCAGAUGGAUACCUUACAAUGUACACAAAAGUAAAUUCCAGGUAGAUUCAAGUAUUUGAUAUGAAAAGCAGAACUUUCAAACUUUUGAAAGGAAACAUAGAAACAUAAUUUUAUGAUUUGAAAACAAGGAAAGUUAUCUUAAAAAAUCAUGAAGGACCCGGAUGUAGCUUGAUAUUUCCCAUUUUCUCUUCUGGGAGGGUCUCGGAAGGAACUAUAUCAAAGGGCUCCCUGAACCUCUGGCUUUUACUUGUACUUAACAAAUGGGAGUCGCUGACAGGUCUAAGGGCAGGAGGAAUUUGAGGAUGGGCUAGUUAUCCUUCCACUUGCUGUCUCCAGAUUCCAGAAAUAGCUUUCUGCUUUUCUUUCUUCCCUUCUAGAAGCAGGUGCUGUUACUUGUUUUGGGGUACUUGCUCUAUCUCUUGUUGGUCUCUCUAAACCCUGCCCACAUCUUUGUAAAUGUUCUGUUAUUAAACUCUCCAGAGUUUAAAUGUGACUAUAUCAUGUGCUUUCUUUCAAUACUCCAGCUGAUAAAUCGUAAAGAAUGAUAAAACAGAUUGAAAACUUUUGCAUGAUAAAACAACACCAGUGAAUGAAGGAAAAAGGGAACAGAUGGAAGAAAAAGUUACAAAGAGGGAGAUCUUUGUCACACUAAUAAAGACAAUGAAUUCGUAUCCAAAAUACAUAAAAACUACGCAUCUGUAAGUAGGGAAGACAUACAACAAGGAAAUUCAUAGAAGUUAAAACCAGAAUGGCAAAAGGCAACACAAAAUGAACAAACAAAGAGAAUUGCUAAUCUUCAAGCCCUACAGAACCUCUGGUCCUUGUUACAUCUUAUCCCUACCCCUGGGCAGCUGUGGUUCAGAAAUGAAUGGGAGAUGAGGUGCCUGAGUCCAUCAGGGUCAAUACCUGUCUAGAAGCUUGUCGGGGAGUGAAUGCAAGGGCUUGCUUGGGGAUUUCCAGAGGAAAGUGCCCCUGGGUAAAUACAUUAGUGAUUAGACCCCAGUGGGGGAGCUGGUGAUGGAGCUCCCUUUCACAGAAACCUGGGAAGGAUGGAGAGAGGGGAGAAGACUCUUGUUCUGCAGAGCCAUGUGUGCUUGGGGACAGAGGUAGUAAACUUGUCCAGGGAAGGCAGUGCAUUGAUGGACUUCAUCACUGAGAACCUUUAUUUGCUUGGGAUGGGUAGGAAAGAGAUGGAGAAUGUUGUAGCUACUAUGGGAGACAGAGAAGGCAUGCACUGCAGAGGUGCCCCCAAGGGUAAGGACUGGGAAGAGGGCCACGAAGCUGGAGUUUCUUGUAUGCCUAACUGCCUGCCUCAUUUGGUCUCAUCCCCAGCCUUCCCUGAAAUCCCACCACUCCCUCCCUAAAAUCCGAAACUUCUGCCAAACUCAGCAACUUCUAAUAUCCUUUUCUGUAAAUUGCCCCUAGCUAGUAAUUUAUCUCUAUACUGAAGUCCCAAAAUACCUCUGUUGAUAGCCAUGAUUAUUUAAAAGAAUAAAUUUUAAAGUGUUGGGAGAAAGAUAAUGGAGUGAAGCAAUUAUCUUUAUAUUUCUUUUCCUAAUUGUGAGGGAUAAAUCAAUAGGCUAUGCAAAUAAAACUAAAUAUGUAUUUUUAACAGAGAACUGUAGAUGCUAUAUUUCAGUAUUUUAAUAGUCUCUACUCCUCCAUUUGGAGUUUAGGACUACAGCUUUACAAAGACAACUAUAACAUUUACUCAUCAAUUACCUGAAUUCUGUUAUUGGAGCUCAAAAUUCAAUAUGCAAUGCAUGGUUAAGUACCUCUUAGGUUGUGUCCAUGAGUGGGAAGAAGAGGUUGCACAAAGUACAGGAAGCCUUUAGCCAUAGAAACACUAUAGAAUGUUUGGACAUAAAACAGCAUUAUUCCAAGUAAUUUCAAUCUCCAGUAGUCUGCACUUUUUCUGCAGGCUUGGAGGCAGAUGCAUGAUCUUCAAAUAGGUGUGUUUUCCCAUCACAACUGACCCUCAGGUUUGCUUAGAGCAAUACGGCUGCUUCCUCUGCCUCACCUUUGUUUAAUGAGAGCCAUUUCUUCACACCAAUGUUGGGUUAAUGGACUGAGAUGGGAGAAAAUCAAACGUAUCUCUGCGUUUUACACCAGAUUGCCUUUCUGCCUUGUGGCUUUAAUCAUUCAAUCCUACUCACAUCUGCCAUAAUCACAGUUAUGGCUUUUCCCCUGUCUGUCUUCUCACCCAGGAGGGUAUGUCAGGGUAUGGCAACAUCUCCGGAAGAAAGGCAGGGCAAAUCCUUAAUCUUUUUCCAGCAUCGUAGGUAAUAAUUUUCCUAUGCAAACCCCCAAGGAGUCUUUUUUUUUUUGGCUCUUACACCCACCAUUCUCAUAGGUUUGUGGCUCUGUGCUGAUUUAUGAGUUUUCUUCUAUCCUUUCUCUUCUGAGAUAAGUUUUAAUUAUGUAGACAGAUUGUAAAAGUCUCUUUCUUCUUGUAAACAACAAUUUCUUUGUUCGUAGUGGAUUUUGUCCAAAUGGCUUCCUCCUAUCUGAAUCUUCUUACAUACCCAGGAAUUAUGUCUGUUCAUGGUUUAACUGUGGGAUAAGGGUAGAGAGAACUGGCUUCUUUCCACAAUUUCCCUGGGGAUUCAAUCUUCAAUCCCUAGCACUGCAAAUCUCCCUUGGGACCUUUGUUGCAUAUGUCUUGAAAGACCAUCAUAUUUUAUUUUUGAUUCAAUACAAGAGCAAAGGAUCACUUAUCAAAUAAGCAGUAUGGUAAUGCUCUCACUUCUCCUUAUUUAAAAACCUCUUUUCUUACCAAAAUCAAAAUUCAAAAUACUUGAAAUCCUUAAAAGUACUAGUGAAGUCCUUAACAGUUACUCCUGCCCCAGGGACUCUAAGUGGAUUUGAAAACAUGCCUCAGAUACGUUGAUGACCAUACCUCUUUAUUGUGGCCCACAUAGUAGUUAAAAUAUAAAGAAAUUAUAGGAAAAAUAUUUUUAAAUGAGUAUUUGAGAUGUGACAUUUUUCUUGUUCUGCAUAAAUACUUUUAAAUGUCGGGUGAAUGUUUUUCCUAAUCAGAUCAUUCUAAUUACCUGAAUUUCGGUGAAUGUGCACAAAUGCACUGGCAUUUUAUGUGAGCUCAUGUGUGUUCAUAUUUUUCUAAAGGGAGCUGUUUGCAUUUUUUAUUAGAUCUCAAAAAUGGAUGUGACUUAAAAAAUAAAUGGUUAAGAUUACAUUGAAUGAAAUUGUUCUGAAACAAAAGCAUCUCACUAUUUUUAAAAAUCAAGUAAACUUUUAUUACUAAGGGAGAUUUCUGGAUUCUGAGAUAGAUUUCAGUAAUUCUAAGCUACUGUGGGAGGGGUCCUUGACCUCUGACUUUUAAAAUUGAUCCUUUUAUGCCUUUGGUGGUUUUUAAAUUCACCAUGUAAAUUUGAGAAAUUAUGCUACUUUUAUAUAAAAAGGAAAUGUUAGAUUAAACUCCCCAUUUUUGAUUUAUAUGAAGCCAACCCUUCUUAUUUGUGAAUUACACCAAAGUGGGAUGAAAAAUAUUUGGAAAGAAAAAAAACUGUGACUGUAAUGAACAUGUACAAACUUUUAAUUUUCAUCAUUAUUUCCUUAGCAAUACAAGUACAACAACUAUUCUUAUACUAUUAACAUUGCAUUAGGUAUAAUAAGUAAUCCAGAAAUGAUUUAAAGUAUACCAGAGAAUGUGCUUUAAGUUAUAUGCAAAUGCUAUGUCAUCUUCUAUAAGGGACUUGUGUAUCCUCAGAUGCUGGUAUCCACUUGCAUCUUGGAAGCAACCACCUUGAACAAUUAUAUUUUGUCUGAUAGGAAGUAUUUUCCUACAUUCCACAAACAUAUUUUUCAAGACCAGUCUUCAGCAAUCCAUUCAAUGCUAUUCUUCCUUUCUCUUGAAAUCAUCUUAACAUAACCCUAAAUGUAAUUUUACUUUUACAAUACAAAGAGCUUAAGUUUGGCCAAAGUUUGCCUAAUUUAUGUUAGGGUGUUAUUUAUUAACUGUAGGAUGAUACAUUACUUAGAUAAAAGAAUGCAAUAGUAAACUGCCCUUCAAAAGAGAUCUACUUUAUUCUAACCUGUCUUAAGAGCAUGACAUUGCAUGUAAGUCUUCAGUGUUAUCCAUAUGCUGCAAAUUUUUAUCAUAGUUGGAUAUAAAUGCCAUCAGUCACCUAAAACAUGGAUUUUGUUUUAAAUUCUAGGUUACUUCAUGGAAUGGGCCUUCAGAGGACCCCAAAAGAUUAAAGUUUUAUGGAAAAACAAAUCAUGCAAUCUUCAGAUUCAGACAUGAGGAGAAAGAUAGCCAUCUGAAGUGGUCAUGAACCCCAAGCAAGUCUUCCUCUCUGUGCUGAUAUUCGGAGUAGCAGGGCUGCUCCUCUUCAUGUAUUUGCAAGUCUGGAUCGAAGAGCAACAUACAGGUAACAUGUG
rnacentral:lncRNA from 1 species